rnacentral:rRNA from 1 species
CCGGAUAGGUAGCAGACAAGCAUUUGACUGCUAUUAAAGUGGCUAAGGCCAUGAACAUGGAUGGACCUGCGGUGCAUUAGCUAGUUGGUGAGGUAACGGCCCACCAAGGCGACGAUGCAUAGCCGGCCUGAGAGGGCGGACGGCCACAUUGGGACUGAGACACGGCCCAAACUCCUACGGGAGGCAGCAUG